rnacentral:rRNA from 1 species
GAUGAACGCUGGCGGCGUGCCUAAUACAUGCAAGUCGAGCGAACGGACGAGAAGCUUGCUUCUCUGAUGUUAGCGGAGGACGGGUGCAUAACACGUGUAUACUCUACCUAUAAGACUGGGAUCACUUCGGGAAACCGGAGCUAAUACCGGAUAAUAUUUUGAACCGCGUGGUUCAAAAGUGAAAGACGGUCUUGCUGUCACUUCUAGAUGGAUCCGCGCUUCAUUAGCUAGUAGGUAAGGUAACGGCUUACCAAGGCAACGAUGCAUAGCCGACCUGACGGGGGGAUCGGCCACACUGGAACUGAGACACGGUCCAUACGACUACGGGAGGCAGCAGAAGGAAAUCGUCCGCAAUAGGCGAAAGCCUUACGGAGCAACGGCGCGUGAGAGAUGAAGGUCUUCGGAGCGUGAAGCUCUGUUAUGAGGGAAAAACAGAUGUGUAAUUAACUGUGCACAGCGUGACGGUACCUAAUCAGAAAGCAACGGCUAACUACGUG